rnacentral:rRNA from 1 species
UACGAAGGGGGCUAGCGUUGUUCGGAAUUACUGGGCGUAAAGCGCGCGCAGGCGGUCUUCCAAGUCAGUGGUGAAAGCCCGGAGCUCAACUCCGGAACUGCCAUUGAAACUGUUAGACUUGAGGACGAGAGAGGGUAGUGGAAUUCCCGGUGUAGUGGUGAAAUGCGCAGAUAUCAGGAGGAACACCGGUGGCGAAGGCGGCGUCCUGGACCAACACUGACACUGAGGAGCGAAAGCCAGGGGAGCAAACGGG